CAGGCACUGCAGAAACAGAAGUAAAACAAUUCUAUUAAGGCCAAACAAUAUUGACCCUUCAGUCUAAUUUGUUUUUGGUCUUGGGACCAAUAUAAAUUAUAAAUUGAGACACUGAGUCUGCCAACAGGAACACGAGGCAACGAGUUGGAGCCAUAGGUGCCAGCGAUGCCCUCCGAUAGGCCAGCUCCCCCUUUCCACCAGGGAGAAGCUCAGCAUAGGAAGUUCCACCCAGCCCCAUGGCUUCCGUGAAGACCCUGCAACUUUGAGGACUGAAGACAUUCCUAACCUUUGUGAACUAAUGGGCUGAACAUUACAAAUUAUUUUAAUCACUUAGAAGACAUUAACAGGAAGGUGGACCUUCUAUACAAUAUGAUAAACCUUGUAUUUAAAGACACUUUAGGACACGGGACCAUCAUGGAAGGAGGGGAGGGGAUGACUUAUGUCAAUUUUAAUUCGGCCACCCCAGGAGACUUAUGAAUCUGGAUGGAUUCCUGAUGUCUCUUGGGGAGUUUCCAGCUACCGGGGUGAGUGACCCUAUUGGUGCUCUGGUAGAUCUCUGGAAUACGGAGGUGGCCAGGGCUAUCAAUACAAUAGCUAGAAAGUGUCCCCUUCCCAGAUGUGGAGCUAAAUUAGCCCCUUGGGUCUUCAAGGAGCUAAUAGCAAUGAAACAGAAGGGAAGGAGACUAGAGCGCAAGUAGUGAAAGAAUCAGAACGAAUCUGACCUCCAGAGGGCAAAGCUCCAUCAAAAGGCAUAUAGCAAAGCUAUAGAGACAGCGAAAAAAUCCAUGUUUUCUACAUCUAUCACCACUGCCAAAAAGAGAUCAUCUGAACUAUUCAGAGUGGUCAAAGGGCUUCUAAACCCACACUAUAGAGCCAGGACUUUGGACACCACUUUGCUAAUAAGAUAAGUUGGAUUUGGGAUGAUUUGGAUGCCACUAUUUCAGCAGCCCCGGUGGAUGUAGUCAGGGCACUGUCUUGUCCAGUUUUAAUGGAUUCGAUUCAAUUGGUUCUGUCCGAGGAUGCUGACAAAAUCUGGGGAGAAGUGAGGGCCACCACCUGCAAUUUGGACCCUUGCCCAUCCUGGCUGGUAAAAAAGGCCAGGGGAAGUAUGGCCUGGAUAAGGGAAUUGAUUAAUGCCUCAUUAAAUCAGAGCGGGAUCCCCACAGCAGUGAAAGAAGCCGUAGUGACACCGCUAUUGAAAAAGCAGUCCCUUAAUCCCACCAAUCUGGACAACUAUAGGCCAGUAUCAAAUUUGCCUUUUUAUUACUAAGAUCUUGGAACGGGUGGUGGCCAAUCAACUCCUAAGAUUUUUGGAGGACACUGAUUUUCUAGAUCCAUCUCAAUCUGGCUUCGGCUGGGUCACUGGAUAGAAACAGUUCUGGUCACCUUGUUGGAUAAUAUUUGUGGGGAACUAGACAGGAGGAGUGUGACCCUGAUGGUCCUCCUAGAUCUCUCAGUGGCAUUCAAUACCAUCAACCAUGGUAUCCUUCUGGAGCAUCUGGCGGGGAUAAGAAUUGGAUGCACUGUACGCCAGUGGUUCUGAUCUUUCCUCUCAGAUGGUUUCCAGAACGUGGUGCUGGGGGAGUCCUGCUUGACUCCAUGCCCUGUAUGCUGUGGGGUCCCACAGGGCUCAUCAUUAUCACCAAUGUUGUUUAACAUCUACAUGAAACCACUGGGAGAGAUCAUCCGGAGUUUUGGAGUUCGGUACCAUCUGUACGCAGAUGAUGCCCAAGUUAUUUAUUUAUUUAUUUAUUUAUUUAUUACAACAUUUAUAUCCCGCCCUUCUCACCCAACAGGGAACUCAGGGCGGCUUACAAUAAAACACACAUAUAAAACCUGUACAAUACACUAUAAAUCAGUUAAAAAAUAACUUACAUAAAACAUUCAUAAAAUGCAUUAUAAAAUACAGAUAGGCGUGUUCAAGUUUAAAAGACUGGGUCUGUCAAUUGAGUUCCAGCGUACAUAAUAGUAAUUAAUGCUGCUGAUUCUUAUUCGAAGCCCUGGCCCCACAACCAAGUUUUAACCUUCCUACGGAAGGAUAGGAGGGAGGGAGUCUGCCUGACUUCAAUGGGGAGGGCGUUCCAUAGGCGGGGAGCCACUACUGAAAAGGCCCUGUCUCUCGUCCCCACCAGCCGCACCUGUGAGGCUGACGGGACCGCGAGCAGGGCCUCAUCUGAUGAUCUUAAGCUUCGAGGUGGGUCGUAGCAGGAGACACGUUCGGACAGAUAAGCUGGGCCAGAACCGUUUAGAGCUUUAUAGGCUAAAGCCAGCACCUUGAAUUGUGCUCGGUAGCUAAUCGGCAGACAGUGGAGCUGGCGUAACAGAGGAGUGGUACACUCCCUGUACGCCUCCCCAUUUAUUAACCUGGCAGCCUCCCGUUGGACUAAUUGAAGCUUCUGAACAGUCUUCAAAGGCAGCCCCACGUAAAGUGUGUUGCAGUAGUCUAAACGGGAUGUAAUGAGAGUUUACUACUCCUUUCCAUCCGAUGCCAAGGAAGCAAUUCCGCACCUGAACCGCUGCCUGAGGGCAGUAAUGUACUGGAUGUACGCAAACAAAUUGAAGCUUAAUCCAGACAAAACUGUACUGCACGUCUCGCGUAAGAUCGAUCUGGUCAUAGGGUCACAAUUUGAGUUGGAUGGGGUUGCACUCCCCCUGAAAUCUCAGGUUCGCAGUUUGGGUGUGGUCCUAGAAUCUGCAUUAAAUCUGGAAGCCCUGGUGGUGGUGGCGGUGACUAGGUCUGCUUUGCACAAUUAAAACUUAUGUGCUAGCUGCGCCCAUUUCUGGAGAAAUCUGACUUAGUCACAGUAGUACACACACUGUUACAUUCUAGUUGGACUACUGCAAUGUGCUCUACAUGGGACUGUCCUUAAAGUGUCCAGGAACUUCAAUUGGUACAGUGUACAGCAGCCAGAUUGCUCAUUGGAGCUGACUCCAGGGAGCACACUAUCCCCCUGCUGAGAUAGCUCCACUGGCUCCCGAUUAGGUUCUGGGCCCAAUUUAAGGUGAUGGUUUUAACCUAUAAAGCCCUACACAGUUUUGAUGCAAGAUACUUGUGGCACCACUCUGCAGAAUAAUCCUUGAUUUGUCCACAAUUCAUAUACAAAUCCAUAAUUUUGUUUCCAAAACCUGCCCUCAACUUAUAUGUCAAUUGUGAUAAGACCAGCCUAUUUCAGAGACUAUAUUUCCCCUAUAAAAGCCCAUUCAAACAUUGUGAUCUGCAGGAGAGAGCUUUCUUUGGCUCCAAUCACUUCAUGGGCAUAUUUUGUCGCUGAUCCCAGUGUGUGCCCUAUUCCUGCUAUCUUUCCAUUAGUAGGGGAACAACUUUUUUUCAAACAGACAUUUGAGUUGUAAAUUAUUUAACAAUAAUAUGGGUAAACUGAUGUACUAUACUUUAUGUUUAAUUUAAUUGUAAUUAUGUUUUAAAUGUAUUGUUAAGUGUUUCAAUUAUAGUUUUAAUAUAUAGUUAUUUAAUCCUUUUUAACCUUAUUUUAAAUUUCUAGAAGUCACCUUAGAUCCCAUCCCUGGAGAAAAGCAAGAACCUGCUUGGUAACCAUACUGAAGUGACAGACGAAGCCACAGUAUGGAAAUAAUCUCUAGUUAAGGAAGAAUCAGGGAUCAAUGACCUGUGACUUUUGGCCUAGUUUUAAAUGCCCUCGUACAAAAUAUCAGUUUGGACUUCUGGAAGCAGUGAUUUUUUCCUUUGGCCAGUAGCCUCUUGGGCAAAGCAGGAAGGAGAGAAUUGGCAAUAAGGGAGGAAAACAGAAAUAAAUAGGGGAGAAAAGAGCAUGGCAGACAGAAAAGGGUUGACCCUGCUUACAAAUGGCUUCAGCUUUAAGGAAAUGUAGACCACUAUGGGUAGGGGAAGCUCUCCCAUCUACCUCUAGACUUAAGGUGCAUCUACACUGUAGAAUUUAAGUCCUUCCAGUAGACUUAAAUCAAGGAAAAUUUUUAUGAGAACCACCACUCCUCUUAAUGUUCUUCCAGCAACAGCAAAAAUAUCCCAGUGGACAGAAAAACAGGCAAUUCCAACUGGAUGACCCCCUACGAGGGUCUUCCUUCAGGGCCAACCAAGAAUAGGCAACUUGGAAGUCCCUGAACAGUCUCAGAGGUGAAAUUGACAGAUCAAAAGACAACCUAGCAAAAUGGCACUACCUAAAAUAAUCCUCCACUUUGUGCGAUUGUGGAGCAGAACAAACAACUUAGCAUCUGUAUGCUUGCCCGCAAUGCUCUGCCUCAUGCACAGAGGAAGAACUGUUUAAAGCUAUAGACAAUGUGGUUGCUGCUGCCCAUUUUUGGUCUAAAAUUAUUUAGCUGCUUGUGUUUCCUUUAUUUUAUCAGUUUUAUACUUAUUUAUUUAUGCAAUGCUUUGGACACAAAAUGAAAAGCAGUUUCAUAGUAUUGAACCACGGCAAUUCAAAUGGUGUCAUUAAUUCUACAGUGUGUAUCCUGAGAGAUCUCUUCUCUGUCCAUAGUAUACAAUUUUUCCUUCUGAAAAUAAAGGGAAGGGUUGUAUACUAUCUUAUCAUUUUCUACCUUAUCCUUAGAAAUCAAAAAUAGAUGAAGCAUGCCUCCAUAAUCCAUUCUGUCUGUAAUUUAUCUCUAGCUGAAGUUGAAUCUGGCCCAUUUCCAUGGUGCACUGAAUCUUAUGAUCAAAAUUCUCCAAUUGUUAAUCCAUAACCACAAGUGUUAAGUUCUUUUACACCUCCUUGUUCCUUUUGUUCGUCUCAUUUUGACUGUGUAUAUGUGUGUCAAGUCUUUGCUUCUUCUGCUGGAGAUGUGAUGAGCUGGAUAUAGUCUUGACUACUGAUAGUGAUUCAUGGAUGUAGGAAAGUUGGAACGAUGAAACUGUCACCAUGGCAUUUGAAACAUAGUAUGCAAACAUAUAGAAUUUCACAUUUGUAUUUUUAUAGGGAUAUAAAUCAUAGAUUUUUAAACAUCUAGAGUUUGCAAUUUUGUGUCUGCAGAAGAUUUAUAUCUUUCUUCAAAUUCCCAUGCUUCUUUUUAAGAAUCUCAAGUGAGAGAAACUUGUAGAAAUCUUGCUAAACUGCCUUUUCCCAAUGAGGGUUCAUUAAUAUCCAUUAGACUUCUUAACUCCAGUUUGAGAGAAAGGCAACAAUUACUUUUUGCUCUGAAUGAUUCUGCAUGUUGCAAGACUGUGUGCAAAAUUGGUGAUGCAAACUUUGUAAUUUUGAAAACAUUCCUACAACAUGGUAGAAGCUACGGUAUCCCAGUUUAACACAUUUUGCAAAAAGGGUUAUCAUUGUGACCAAUAGAAAUUAUCUGACGAUCUUACAGGGGAGGAGAAAAAAAAUAUGAUUCUGCAUUCUCAAAACAAUAGGAUAAGUGAAGAUUUCAACUCCUAUUAAAAUAUGCCUCUAGUAUCCAAUAACUAUAGCAAAUACCAGGGCAGGGAAAGAGCCUCCCCACAUUCAAUAUACCUUAGUGCAAUUGCUGUCAACCUUUCACUUUUAUGAGGACUAGGGCACAGGCCCCCCAGAAAAGUGGAAGACCAUGACUAUAACUUUGUGCCCACAAGCUGCAUUUAACACACACAACAAGGUAUUUGUGGAGCUUGUUUCUCAGAUGUAUCAAAUCUAUCUGGACACAUUUCACAGGAAUUGAAAAAAAAUGUGCUGAGGAUAUGCAUCUUUUGCUAUAAAAUGCAAUUUUCCAAGUCCUGUAUUGAAGUGAUUUGAUACAUUUUGAUAGUUUUGAUCUACACAUAAUAUUCUACUCCUAGCCAACAAUGUGCUGCCAGCUAUAACUCAUUUUUCAUAUUUUUUUAUUUGCUACCUUUUAGAAACGAACUCCACAUUUGUAUUGGAGGGGCAGUAGGUUCUGGCUGUGCAUAUACGUCUUCCUCCAAUCGCUUGCUCACUAACUCACUCAUGUGAGUGGGAAAGAAGAUGGGGACACUUAUCUCAUCCUCCUCCCCCUCCCUAAUUGCAUGAGUGAACAGGCGAAAUGUAGGCAGCUGGGCCUAGUCAUUCCAUCAAUUUGAUUUCCACUAGUGACACCAGUGUUAUUGAAGUCCCUCUUCAAAAUGGUAUAGGGCACUAGUGGAGGUAGUGACAAAUAUAGUAAUCUGUGAAUAAACAAAUCCAUGAACACUUAAACUCCAAAUGUGGAUGGCUGAUUGUGCUUACUUUUCCCCAAUGGAGUGAUUGACUGUUAUUCUCGUGAGAAGAAAAAGAAAUAAAAAAUAUGAGCUUGGACCUUUUA